GAUCUGAACAAGCAUCAGCAGCAGGCAGUCAAAGGAGGUCAAGAGAUUGUAGCUCAGGGUGCGAAUCACAGUGCAGCUCUCCUCUGGCAUGAAGGCUGUGAGAGAGGCAUGACAAUUUCUGGCCUUGCCCUGCCAAAGGAGAGCUGUCCUGCCAUUCAUUAGCCCUGCAAUCAGCAUGCACAUUGGUGUUUUCAGUGGAUCAUUGUUGAGUGUACUGAGCAAAGGUAUAUGCGUCCAUGGAUGUGUUUUGAUAUAUAGAAAUAUUUGUGUGGAUCUUUCUCGUUAGUGAACAAUGCUUGUUCUUAUUGUUUAUAGUUCUUGAACAAUAGCUCGUGUACCAUCGCCAGCUGCACCAAGCAAAGGUGGCGGCAUGAAACACAAUCCUCGUCUCAUCAUUGGUGGCUUUCAUUUUUUUUUUUCAAUUGAUUGACCAUUCAUAUAGAGGGAUCGACAUGGCUUUUGCUUUGUUGUAAG